rnacentral:lncRNA from 1 species
GCUCAUUCCGUCGCCGUUCGUUCCGUUCGCUUUACUUUUCGUACUUUUCUCGCAUAUUAAAAAGUCAAACAAAAUAAUAAAAUGAAGCGAUCGCACACAUACUCACGCACAUACGUGUAUAUGUUCGUACAUAUAUAUAUGUACAUAUGCAUACAUAUAUAUGCACGCAAUGGCCGCCAUUGACGCCGACUGCGCUGCCGACUGCGCUGGCGAGAGUAUAAAAGCAUAAAAUCACUUCGUACUCGGGUUUAUUAAAACCAAAACUGUGCAAGUGUCAAGAUCGGUUAGCAGCAGCAAAAAGAUAAAUAAGAAAUAGCCAAGGACCCAUAAAAUAAAUAAUCUCAAUACCAAAAAGUUCUAGUGAAAUUCACAAUUCUGACUUGGAAAGUGAAAGUUUGGCCAUUAAACGUACGAUUAAAAUCCACAACAGCACGAUCAAAAAUAGUAUCAAGCAAUUAGCGCAGAAAAAGUAACAAAAAAAAUUUUAAAAAACAGGAACGCGACGUGCCCGCAAAAGCGAAAAAAAAUUAAAAUCGAAAGUGUUCUACUGACAUGGAUUACUUUUUGCCGCCCAAACUACAAACACAACAAAACGCGCAGAGAAACUAGCACUACUUUUUUCUAUUCACCCAUUCGGAGAGUGAGAAGAAUCGGAGAGAAGGAAAGAGAGCAAAGGCCGGUCCGAAAUAGAAAGCACUACACUGGAAAAUCUGUUAAUAAGAAUGCAAUGAAAGUAAUACGAAACACAGAUAUAUUUAGCUUAUAUUACUCUUAAAACUCUAGAAAAAUCUAGAUCGGUUAAUAUAACAAUUUUAAAAUAGCUUAGUUGGCAUCGAUGUUACGGAAAAAAUUUUUCCAGUUGUACUUGAAAGGCAGAAAUAUUUCGAGAUUUAGAUUUAUGAGUCUUCCUAAAGAAAUUAAAUUGGAUAGAAAAUGUCUUUUAGAUAUAGAAUACAGGGUGAUGCCUAAUCCAUUAAAAUCGAGCAAUCUAAAAAGUGUCAUACCAGUUAGAUUGGGUGUAACCAACGCAACGUUCUCACUGUGUAGAUAGCGAUCUCUUCUAUUCGGCGGUGUACGUGCACUUGGCCAUUUGUCUCUCCAUUCUCCAUUUUUCGCGCCUCGCUCUCAAUUCUCUGCGCUCAAAUCCUCUAGCAAUUCUAAUUCGUAUUCUCGCCGCCUCGCUUUGAACUUGAACUUUAAAUGCACAAACCAUAAUCGUGUAUGUUAUGUUGUUGCUGGCCGAGGGCGUGCUCUCGCACUCUGGCAAACAUGGGCUCUACGAGUUUGCUAUAUAUACGCAGCGCAAUCAGUUGCGAGGCAGCACUCGUUCCAUGUGGGCGCUCGACAAUCGCCCGCUGAUCAGUUUUCGACUGGCUUGCAAUUAAUUCGGCUCUUGACGAGCCCCAAAAGUGAAAGUCGCGAGUGAAAGACGUGGCAGUUUUAUAUUAAAGAAAAAUACGAAAACGGGCAGCAGAUCAAACAUGAACAGUACGCAAAACACGAAAUGCGAAACGGCGGCAACAAGUUAAUAAAUUAAGACGGCAAACGAAAAAAUCCAGAUUCCGAGCACUGCAAAGAAAGUGGCACAAAUGCUUUGCUUUUAUCGUAGGAAAUUCGCAAAAAAUGUACAAAUAAAACGAAAGAAAAGUUGCCACUAUCAAAUCCCACCGUUCUUUAACUAUAGUUUCCUUCUAAAUCUAGCCUCUACUAGGCUUUGUCUGUGCAUUCGAAAGCCGAUCAGACAUAGCCUAUAAGAGGUUAGGUGUACCAAGGCGAACAAUCAGCGAAAACGGAAUCGAUUACAGUUUUGGAGAUCGUGAGAGGAGGAGAAGAGGCGACUGCUUGAUAAGCCCGGACCCUCCAGCGAUCUCCAAUCAAUAUUACUUUCCACCUACAUAUCUCCCCCUUUCAGCUGGUUUAAUUUUGGAUUCCCCCAUCUGGCUGGCCUAUUUUCGCCUGGCCUGCGUUAUUUAUUAGUUAAUAAACCAUUAAUAUAUACUUGAAUAAAAAGGCGUUUCUCUGAUUUUUGAUGAGUGUGCGUUUUCAUGGGACGGACUCAUCGAGCGAUUAUUGCGAGUCGGUUUGGCGACUUGGAUUUGUUGAUUUUACUUUGUUCUCGGGUUUUGCUGGCCACACAAAGCGGAUUGGAUUACAGUUUAUUAUCGAACUUGAAGGCGCCAGUCGCCAAAACAGCUGGUAAUUUUCCAAUACAUGAAUGGCAGGAAAAUCCAUUUGCGUCGUCAUGAGAAUUCUAUGUGGUGCAGUCCACCCGCGAUGAUAAUUUUUAAGAUUUGGGAAGAUUGAAUACAUAUGAUAUCAUAUAUGAUAUGAAUACAAUUUUAAUAAAGAAAAAUUAUGCUAAAAAAAUGUAAUCAGAAUUUGUCUGUGAAUAAGACAUAAUGCUUUAAAUAUGUAGGAAUAGCAGGGUCCGAGCAAAAGCGUGACAAGAGAAACAGCAGGAGAAGCGACAGCAGAAUAAAAGGACAGAGAAAACGGAGAAAAGAAAAGGCCGGGCGGGGUUCGGUGUGUGGACAGCAAGCGUGGAGUAAAACCGAAAGUUAUUAACGGAAAACCUAAAUGUUAUAAUAACCGUGUGAUUUUCAAUUGUUAACUACUAUAAUAAAACUCUAAGUUGAGUAUAUCUCAGCUUACAUUUAUUAUUCAUAAAAAUAGGAUAAGAAGUUGGUACGACAUCGAACCAAAAACGAUGCGAAUAAUGCUUAAUCAUUUAGUUAUCUAUUUCCAAAGCUGCAUAGAGUAUUUCGAUGAGGCACCCGAAAUUAAAAAUAUUUUUUAAAUUUUGAAAAGUAUACAACGGUUGCACUGCUUGUAAAAGCUUGAACAGCUUUUCUAAGAAACUUUCAUACACGAUCAUUUAUCGAACUGCUUUAAGUAAAGUUAAGUAAAGUAAAUGUAAGAUACUUUACAUAGACAAAAAAACUACACCGUGGGAAACAUAAAAUUCUUUAAAUAAAUACGUACAAGUUAAAGGUUUUAUUCUACUAAAUACGUUUUAAUAAUUUCCAAUAUUUUAUAUUUAACAACCAUUAUAUUAACAUUG